rnacentral:rRNA from 1 species
UACGUAGGUGGCAAGCGUUGUCCGGAAUUAUUGGGCGUAAAGCGUGCGCAGGCGGUUCUAUAAGACAGAUGUGAAAUCCCCGGGCUCAACCUGGGAACUGCAUUUGUGACUGUAGAGCUGGAGUGCGGCAGAGGGGGAUGGAAUUCCGCGUGUAGCAGUGAAAUGCGUAGAUAUGCGGAGGAACACCGAUGGCGAAGGCAAUCCCCUGGGCCUGCACUGACGCUCAUGCACGAAAGCGUGGGGAGCAAACAGG